CCCAGCACCGAAGCCUUUGGCUCUUUGGCCACUUGGCAAUGAGGUGUUCAGGUUGGUCCGUAGAAACUCUUCUCCACUCUGAGUCCAGCAAUGAAUACGGUAGCUUGGACAUGGCCCAUGGAGGGUGAAAGGCCCGUAAAGGUGGAGAUCAGUCAGGCCAGUGCCUCUUCUGGAUUGACCUUGGAGUCGGGUUGUUUGUGAAUGCAGCCCAAAAGUGGGUGGUAAACUCCAUCCAAGGCUAAAUACAAGCACGAGUCCGAUAGCGAACAAGUACCGUGAGGGAAAAGUUGAAAAGUACUUUGAAAGAGAGAGUAAACAGUGCGUGAAACCGCUCAGAGGUAAACGGGUGGAGUUGAACUGCGUGCUCCCGUGAAUUCAGCUGGUGAGGAUGUUAUGGGCUUGGUCAGAUUGGUUGGACACUGAGGUAUGCUUAGCUGCAUGUUCCAGCCUUCGGGUUGGUAUGCACGUUACGCUCAUCAUGCGUUGUGCGCCUUGGUUGUUUCCUGCCUCCUUGCCAGUGCACUUUCUCGGAGUGAUCACCAUGACCGGCGUUGCUGUCUGGCUGCUCUAGUCAAACUGGUCUUGCACCCGUCCCUUGUGGCGUUGUUAGGUCCGGGAUGACAGGUAGCUCGUUGGCUUGCGUAUGCUUUGCUCUCGGGCGUAUUCAGUUGAUUGGAGCGGGGCUGUACGGUACGUCGGAGCUGGCGGCUAGUUGUGCGUACCUGCGUAUCUUU
rnacentral:rRNA from 1 species